GCUUAAAUAGUCACUACUGGAUGAACUAUUAGCAGUUUAAAAAAUAAGAAUUCAAAACUUUGCUAUUCUUACAUUUUUAGAAAUAGGCUAAAUAAUUGAUCCUUGGAAAAUGCAACUGUUCAAUCUAGAUUAACUGUUUCACAUGUUUACACUUACAUAUAAUUAGAUAGAGUAAAGGUUAGGCGUAUUUGGCGUGCUGUCUGGGGGAAGGGCUUCCGAGCUCAGAAUUUGGCCCGAACCCAGAGUACUCCUCCCGGUUGUGAUAGGAAUAGUUAGAACUAGAAGUGAGGAGAUGGGGUGGUGGAGGGAUGCUGAUAAACUGUCAACGAACAGAGUGGCUGCUUUUCUCAAAAGUCAAUAGACUAGGGGAAAAUUCCAGAGAAUGGUAUGUGUUGCCAAAAGUGGUCUUUUUUUCUCACAUUGAUAGUGAGCGUGUUUGUACCCCAAGCUCAGACUCUGAGUAGGCAGAAAGAGGAGGAGGAAGAAUAAACCUCUUUCAUUCAAAACUAUCUGGAGUCUUGUCACCUACAUGACCCCUCAUAAUACAGCCCGAGAGUUCAGGAAUGGAUUCUACCAUUUGGACUCUCCCUAGCCCCUAGUGUGUUUAAGAGAUGUAUGAAGGCUGCCCUGUCUCCCCUGUGCUCAGAUGAGGGUCCAAUCUGUGCACAAUACACAGCUGCUGCUGGACCACAAAGCCAAUUUGGAUCUCUCAGUGAUCAGAGUAAAGAGUUCUCUGUCUCCACACAGUCCAUCAUGUUCAUCGGGAUGACAAUCAAUUUGGUCACAAUGCGUGCCUUGCUGUCUCCAUCUCGGACAAAAGAUAUCCUAAACCUUCUUGCCCAGUUUCGUCUGGGAGUGGUUGAUGGAUCACAUCAAUAUAUUGGAGAUGUGUAUAAUUUUUCUGGCCUUAAGACUUUUCCUUCCAGUUCUGGUGGGCCGCCAUGUGAUUGUACAUUUGGACAACACACCAACGUUCUUCAAUCUGAAUCAUCAGGAGGGCACAAAGUUGGAGAGCUUGUUGCGGCUCACUUACAAUAUCCUCACCUGGUCACUUCCACGGUCAAUCAGACUGCAGGAGCUCUGUCCAGGAAUUGGAUACAUCCAAGUGAGCGGAGGCUCCACCCGGAUGUAGUGCAGGAUAUUUGGUAGGAGUUCGGUAUGGCGGAAGUAGAUCUAUUUGCUUUGGAAAACACAACUAUCUGCCCAUUGUGGUUUGCCCAGAUGGAAGAGUCCAGGCCAAUGAGGAAGGACGGACUGUCACAUGAUUAGCCAGAUUGUCUUCUGUAAGCUUUUCCUCCAAUUCAUCUGUUGUGGGAGACACUUCACAGGAUUGCUCAUGGCAGACACAGGGUACUUGUGAUAGCGCCAAAGUGGCUGUCCAAACCACAGUUUCCCUUGCUCCUAACCUUGUUGGUGAGCAGACUAAAGCAGCUUCCUUUCAGGAGUGAUCUGCUAUUCCAGCUGGACAGUCGUAUUUGGCAUCCAGAUCCAGUCUGUCUACUGUCAUGGGUCUGGGCUCUGGGGCCAACUCUGAAACUUCGUCAUUCACACUGUUCUUAAUGUGAGGGCUGCUUCUACACGAAGGCUUUAUAUCUAUCAAUGAAGUCUUUCUGCUUGUGGUGCAAGACACAUGAUUUUGAUCCUGUACAAUGCACUCCACAUUAAAGGUUUAUGUGGCAGCCAUUUCUGCACAUCAUUCACUUGUAGAAGGUUUUUCUCUCGGCUUCCACAGCCUAGUUUGCAGUUUUUUAAAAGGUGAGAGGCACCUCAAUCCUGCUCACUCCCUCUUUCUCUAGUGUGGAAGUUACCUCUGGUGUUGGAGUCUCUUUGUCAAUCUCCUUUUGAAACAUUUGAGGACACAGAUCUUAAGGCAGGAACACACGGUCGGCCGUCGGGCAGUUUUUCUUUGUCGGCCGACAAAAUUUUCUCAGCGUGUUCCAUACCGACGGCUGAAGUUGGUCCUCGUCGGCUUUUUUUCGGCCGAUUUGAA